rnacentral:rRNA from 1 species
CUACGGGUUGCUCCAGUGGGGAAUAUUGGGCAAUGGGCGCAAGCCUGACCCAGCAACGCCGCGUGAGGGAAGAAGGUUUUCGGAUUGUAAACCUCUGUCCUUGGGGACGAAGAAGUGACGGUACCCAAGGAGGAAGCUCCGGCUAACUACGUGCCAGCAGCCGCGGUAAUACGUAGGGAGCAAGUGUUGUCCGGAAUUACUGGGCGUAAAGGGUGCGUAGGCGGCAUAUUAAGUCAGGUGUGAAAUACUCGGGCUCAACCCGAGGGGUGCAUUUGAAACUGAUAAGCUUGAGUGUGAGAGAGGAAAGUGGAAUUCCUAGUGUAGCGGUGGAAUGCGUAGAUAUUAGGAGGAACACCAGUGGCGAAGGCGACUUUCUGGCUCAUAACUGACGCUGAGGCACGAAAGCGUGGGGAGCAAACAGGAUUAGAUACCCGAGUAGUC